rnacentral:lncRNA from 1 species
AUGUUAUUAUAUAUUAUUAUUAUUGUUUGAGAAUCUCACCCCUUCUGCUUGAAAAUGUUGCCCUUCCUAUGGGUAACUUGCAGGUGAUCCUGAGUAGUAGGUGGUGGCUCACAGUGUCUAGGGCUCUGAUACGUGGGAUGGGAUUUUAUUGCUUGAAUUCUUUCCUAUGUAUCAUUUUUGAAAUAUUGCUGAUGUAGCCCUUUGUGAUUGAAUUUUAUGUUGAAAUGGCUUUCAUGCCAAGAAUAAUUAUUGUAGACUUAUUGAUGUUACAAAUAUUCCGCUGCAAGUUUAAUGACAAUUUUAUGUAUGACGUUUGAUUAAAUAGAUUUUUUAUAUACACUCUAUUUAGAAGAUUGUUACAUGAAGAAAUGUGGCAUGCCC